rnacentral:sRNA from 1 species
AUCAUUCCCUUACUCGAAUGAAUUAGAGUACAGGAUUGAGGCUAAAUAAUGUGAGUGCCAAGCUCUUUCUGAAGCUCUUAUAUCAAGGAACAUGCAUUGCAACUUUCCUAAUCCCUGCUUCCCUCACUUCCAGAUUGUGAGAUGUGUCAGAACUUCUUCAUUGACAGCUGUGCUGCUCAUGGGCCCCCUACAUUUGUAAAGGACAGUGCAGUGGACAAGGGGCAUCCCAACCGUUCAGCCCUCAGUCUGCCCCCGGGGCUGAGAAUUGGGCCAUCAGGCAUCCCUCAGGCUGGGCUUGGAGUAUGGAACGAGGCAUCUGAUCUGCCACUGGGUCUGCACUUUGGCCCCUAUGAGGGCCGAAUUACAGAAGACAAAGAGGCAGCCAACAAUGGAUAUUCCUGGCUAAUCACCAAGGGGAGAAACUGCUAUGAGUAUGUGGAUGGAAAAGAUAAAUCCUGGGCCAACUGGAUGAGAACCAAAGCCAGAGAUCCAUCCAUGUCCCUCAUGUUGUCUGGCCUUUUCAAGUCAGAAAUUUCUCAGUCAACAUGUGGAACGCAAUCACUCCUCUCAGAACUUCCCAGGACCAUCUGCAAGACACCUCCUCCAACCAGAGAAUCCCUGCCCAGGGGAUCAGAAUCAGGAGCAGCAAUAUUCUGAUCCAGACUGCUGUAAUGACAAAACCAAAGGUCAAGAGAUCAAAGAAAGGUCCAAACUCUUGAAUAAAAGGACAUGGCAGAGGGAGAUUUCAAGGGCCUUUUCUAGCUCAGCCAAAGGACAAAUGGGGAGCUCUAGAGUGGGAGAAAGAAUGAUGGAAGAAGAGUCCGGAACAGGCCAGAAAGUGAAUCCAGGGAACACAGGCAAAUUAUUUGUGGGGGUAGGAAUCUCAAGAAUUGCAAAGGUCAAAUAUGGAGAGUGUGGGCAAGGUUUCAGUGAUAAGUCAGAUGUUAUUACACACCAAAGGACACACACAGGGGGGAGGUCCUACAUCUGCAGGGAGAGUGGGCGGGCUUUAGCCAGAAGUCAAACCUCCUCAGACACCAGAGGACACACACAGGGGAGAAGCCUUAUGUCUGCAGGGAGUGUGGGCGGGGCUUUAGCCGGAAGUCAGUCCUCCUCAUUCACCAGAGGACACACACAGGGGAGAAGCCCUAGUCUGCAGGAAGGAUGAGUAAGUCAUUAGUAAUAAAACCUUAUCUCAAUAGCCACAAGAAGACAAACGUGAUCACCACACACUUGCACACCCCAGCUCUGAGGUGGCUUCAGCGGAAGUCUGCUGACCCCUUAUAUUCCCCGAGAGUGUAAAGAGAUCGGAAAUAACUAAUUAAACAAAUCCGCCACUUUCAUGACUAGAGAUGAGGAAGAACGGGAUAGUUCUGUAAGUGUUCAGGGGACGUCAACAUGUAUGGUUGUUUCCCGCACUGAUCCCCUCCAUUUUUUGUUUUUUGCCUCCUGUUCUAAUAAAUUUUGUCUCCAUAUAUAUCUGAACCCCAAGUGUGCACCUUAUUCUUCCCUUAUCACUGAAGGAAAGAAGAGUCCAGAAGGGCCACAGAGAACUCAAAUGUUCAGCUCAAGUCUCCACAGGAAUUCAACCCCCAGAAAGACAUAAACUUGGAGUCCAUCUGGUUUAAUUAUUAGAGAAUCGAUUCCCAAGUCCAGGAAGAGAAAUGUAGGAUUUUAGAGAGUCGCAGCAGGAAAGAGAGCUCCCUGGUCUCCUGGGAAGUGUGGCCUCUUCUCCUAAUGGACCCCUCUCCUCUGCUGCCAUACUCCCCCUUGGCUACCCCGUCUCCUCUCCUGAUUUCCUCCAAUCUCUGUAGCCCCAGAAGUGAACGCCAGACAGGAACACGCGUGUGUGUAUAUAUGUGUUCAUGUGUGCUAUAUGUUUUAAGCCUGCAUGCAUGGGUGUGGGGGUAUGUGCCGUCUGUGUAUGUAUCUGUGUGAGUGUGGGGGUUUCAAGGGUAUGUUAGGAAUAACGCUGAAAAUCCUAAGGAAAUUGAACACUCUGAGAGAAGAGAGACAGACCCUCUCAUAUUGUUUCAUAUUGUUUUAUAUUCAGAAAAGGAAAGAAAAGCAAAACUAAAGGCAGGUAGCCUGGUGCCUAGGAACCAGACCUGAAACCAAGGAACCAGACCCAAAACCAGGCCUGGGCCUGCCUGACCUAAGCCUGGUAGUUAAAAUUCGACCCCUGACCUAGCAACUGAUGUUAUCUAUAGAUUAUAGAAAGACAUUGUGAAACUUCCCGGUCUGUUUUGUUCCGAUCUAAUUACCGGUGCAUGCAGCCCCUGUCACGUGCCCCCUGCUUGCUCAAUCAAUCACAACCCUCUCACAUGCACCCCCUUAGAGUUGUGAGCCCUUAAAAGGGACAGGAAUUGCUCACUCAGGGAGCUCAGCUCCUGAGACAGGAGUCUUGCCGAUGCUCCCGGCCGAAUAAACCGCUUCCUCCUUUAA